UGCUUCCAUCUGGAAGAAUCUGGAGACAGGUGCUGCAUGGCUGUCGUCAGCUCGUGUCGUGAGAUGUUGGGUUAAGUCCCGCAACGAGCGCAACCCUUGCCUUUAGUUGCCAGCAGUUCGGCUGGGCACUCUAAAGGGACUGCCGGUGUUAAACCGGAGGAAGGUGGGGGAUGACGUCAAGUCCUCAUGGCCUUUAUGACCAGGGCUACACACGUACUACAAUGGCCGAUACAAAAGGGCAGCGACACUGCGAGGUGAAGCCAAUACCCGUAAAAUCGGUCUCAGUCCGGAUUGGAGUCUGCAACUCGACUCCAUGAAGUUGGAAUCGCUAGUAAUCGUGGAUCAGCAUGCCACGGUGAACGUACCGUUCCCGGGCCUU
rnacentral:rRNA from 1 species